GAGAGCAUAGCUCAGUGGUAGAGUCCACGCUUAGCAUGCAUGAAGUCUUGGGUUCAAUCCCCAGUACCCCCU
rnacentral:tRNA from 1 species